rnacentral:rRNA from 1 species
AUGGAGCAGCGUGGAAGAGCAGCAAUCAGCGCAGGAGGAAAGCAACAACCCCGGCCAGCAUCUCGUCGCUGCUGCGACUCCUCACCGUGGUUCUUACAGCUGCGACUCAUGCGGGUAACAGAGCUCGGCGGCCACGACGGCCGCGAUGCCGAGCCAGGAUGGCACGCGGCGGCGGAAUGGAGGCGCAGGCGCAGUCGCGCCACCGCGGGAUGCCCAGGCCACCGACGAAGAGGAGGAAAGAUCGGAUGA